UAAGGGAAUCAAGACUGACAGAGAGUGAGAAAGAGAUUCAUUAAUGGAAGUGAAGUGUUUCUAUUAUUGUUUUCUCUUAAACUACUUGCUUAUCGUCAGCAUAAGUACUGGAAGCAAGAGGGAGACAAGCUUCUGUCGAUGGAACUAGGCUAGCUGUUUCCCAUGUUCCUAUCUCCGUGCUAAACUAAGCUAAGAAAGAGAACCUCGUUUCCUUCCCAACACAUUGGGGGACGUAGAGAUGGAUCCACCUAUUAGACCUGCUGGUGUGAGUUCAUCCUCUGGUGGUCAGCUUCUCGUUUCCCUGGGCAGUCUGCUUGAUGACCAGCACUGGCACCAUGUAAAGCUGGAGCGGC